rnacentral:rRNA from 1 species
CUGGCUCAGAACGAACGCUGGCGGCGCGCUUAAGCAUGCAAGUCGAACGGCAAGAGGUAGCAAUACCUCCUAGAGUGGCGGACUGGUGAGUAACACGUGGGUGACAUACCCUUCAGAUGGGGAUAGCUAUUAGAAAUAGUAGAUAAUACCGAAUACGAGCACAGGGGUUAGAGAUCUGUGAGGAAAGGAGCUAAGGCUCCGCUGAAGGAAUGGCCUGCGGCCCAUUAGCUAGUUGGUGAGGUAAGAGCCCACCAAGGCGAUGAUGGGUAUCCGGCCUUAGAGGGUGAACGGACACAUUGGGACUGAGAUACGGCCCAGACUCCUACGGGAGGCAGCAGCUAAGAAUAUUCCGCAAUGGACGAAAGUCUGACGGAGCGACGCCGCGUGGAUGAAGAAGGCCGGAAGGUUGUAAAAUCCUUUUGAAACUGAAGAAUAAGCGUUGUAGGGAAUGACAGCGUGGUGACAGUAGGUUUUGAAUAAGCAACGGCUAAUUACGUGCCAGCCGCCGC